GCAUUAAUGGGGUAGUGGUAACCUGGGUCGUUGCCAUUGACAUUGUGUCGACCCGCCGGGGGUUCGAUUCCCUCUUAAUGCA
rnacentral:tRNA from 1 species